UACAGAGGGUGCGAGCGUUAAUCGGAAUUACUGGGCGUAAAGCGCACGUAGGUGGCGACGUAAGUCGGGUGUGAAAGCCCCGGGCUCAACCUGGGAAUUGCAUUCGAGACUGCAUUGCUGGAGUACGGAAGAGGAAGGCGGAAUUCCCGGUGUAGCGGUGAAAUGCGUAGAUAUCAGGAGGAACACCUGUGGUGUAGACAGCUUACUGGACCACGACUGACGCUGAGACACGAAAGCGUGGGUAGCAAACAGG
rnacentral:rRNA from 1 species